CAGAGGUAGAGACUGAUAGACAGUAGUGUUAAAGACCUAACAGCUAUGUUAGGAGGGACUGGGGAGACAGAGACAGAGGUAGAGACUGACAGACAGUAGUGGAAAAGACCUAACAGCUAUGUUAGUAGGGACUGGGGAGACAGAGACAGAGGUAGAGACUGACAGACAGUAUUAAAGACCUAACAGCUAUGUUAGGAGGGACUGGGGAGACAGAGACAGAGGUAGAGACUGAUAGACAGUAGUGUUAAAGACCUAACAGCUAUGUUAGGAGGGACUGGGGAGACAGAGACAGAGGUAGAGACUGACAGACAGUAGUGGAAAAGACCUAACAGCUAUGUUAGUAGGGACUGGGGAGACAGAGACAGAGGUAGAGACUGACAGACAGUAUUAAAGACCUAACAGCUAUGUUAGGAGGGACUGGGGAGACAGAGACAGAGGUAGAGACUGACAGACAGUAUUAAAGACCUAACAGCUAUGUUAGAAGGGACUGGGGAGACAGAGACAGAGGUAGAGACUGAGACAGAGGUAGAGACUGAUAGACAGUAGUGUUAAAGACCUAACAGCUAUGUUAGGAGGGACUGGGGAGACAGAGACAGAGGUAGAGACUGACAGACAGUAGUGUAAAAGACCUAACAGCUAUGUUAGGAGGGACUGGGGAGACAGAGACAGAGACUGACAGACAGUAUUAAAGACCUAACAGCUAUGUUAGGAGGGACUGGGGAGACAGAGGUAGAGACAGAGAUAGAGACUGAUAGACAGUAGUGUUAAAGACCUAACAGCUAUGUUAGUAGGGACUGGGGAGACAGAGACAGAGGUAGAGACUGACAGACAGUAUUAAUGACCUAACAGCUAUGUUAGAAGGGACUGGGGAGACAGAGACAGAGACAGAGACUGACAGACAGUAUUAAAGACCUAACAGCUAUGUUAGAAGGGACUGGGGAGACAGAGACAGAGGUAGAGACUGACAGACAGUAUUAAAGACCUAACAGCUAUGUUAGGAGGGACUGGGGAGACAGAGACAGAGGUAGAGACUGACAGACAGUAUUAAAGACCUAACAGCUA